GCCAGUGUGGCAUUGUGGUUUGAGUGUUGAACGGUGGCUCUAGAGACCAGGGUUUGAUUCCCUGCUUGGCCA